UACGUAGGGGGCAAGCGUUGUCCGGAUUUAUUGGGCGUAAAGAGCGUGUAGGCGGUUAGGUAGGUCCGUUGUGAAAACUCGAGGCUCAACCUCGAGACGCCGAUGGAAACCAUCUGACUAGAGUCCGGAAGAGGAGAGUGGAAUUCCGUGGUGUAGCGGUGAAAUGCGCAGAUAUCAGGAAGAACACCCGUGGCUAAGGCGGCUCUCUAGUACGUGACUGACGCUGAGACGCGAAAGCGU
rnacentral:rRNA from 1 species